rnacentral:rRNA from 1 species
AGCGAACGCUGGCGGCAGGCCUAACACAUGCAAGUCGAACGAACCUUUCGGGGUUAGUGGCGGACGGGUGAGUAACACGUGGGAACGUGCCUUUAGGUUCGGAAUAACUCAGGGAAACUUGUGCUAAUACCGAAUGUGCCCUUCGGGGGAAAGAUUAAUCGCCUUUAGAGCGGCCCGCGUCUGAUUAGCUAGUUGGUUGAGGUAAUGGCUCACCAAGGCGACGAUCAGUAGCUGGUCUGAGAGGAUGAUCAGCCACAUUGGGACUGAGACACGGCCCAAACUCCUACGGGGGGCAGCAGGGGGGAAUCUUGCGAAAGGGGCGAAAGCCUGACGCAGCCAUGCCGGGGGAAUUAUGAAGGUUUUAGGAUGGUAAAAUUCUUUCCCCGGGGAAGAUAAUGACGGUACCCGGAGAAGAAGCCCCGGCUAACUUCGU